GAGUUUGAUCCUGGCUCAGAACGAACGCUGGCGGCGUGGAUAAGACAUGCAAGUCGAACGAGAGAAUUGCUAGCUUGCUAAUAAUUCUCUAGUGGCGCACGGGUGAGUAACACGUGAGUAACCUGCCCCCGAGAGCGGGAUAGCCCUGGGAAACUGGGAUUAAUACCGCAUAGUAUCGAAAGAUUAAAGCAGCAAUGCGCUUGGGGAUGGGCUCGCGGCCUAUUAGUUAGUUGGUGAGGUAACGGCUCACCAAGGCGAUGACGGGUAGCCGGUCUGAGAGGAUGUCCGGCCACACUGGAACUGAGACACGGUCCAGACACCUACGGGUGGCAGCAGUCGAGAAUCAUUCACAAUGGGGGAAACCCUGAUGGUGCGACGCCGCGUGGGGGAAUGAAGGUCUUCGGAUUGUAAACCCCUGUCAUGUGGGAGCAAAUUAAAAAGAUAGUACCACAAGAGGAAGAGACGGCUAACUCUGUGCCAGCAGC
rnacentral:rRNA from 1 species